rnacentral:ncRNA from 1 species
GUACGAAAAAGGCAAAGCUGAUGAAAAUCAGUGACGCAAAGCUAAAGGGACUAAGUGGAGAAAUCCGUAUGUCAGCCAGCUCCCGAA